UCCGAGGUGCCGUGUGUUCGAAUGUCUGUGUUGUAGGUAUUUAUUAUUUAGUGUUUUUUUAUAUGCAAGUUUUCUUAUUUGUGAAUUUUUCAAUUUUUGUUGCAAAGUGACAAACACCAUAGACUAUUUUUAUAGAAAGUAGAAAAAUAAUUUUUAGUGAAAAAUGCUCAAAAAUGUACACAUACGAGUGUACGACUGUAAAUCAUCAAAAAUAUUUCGUCGAUACGGUUUUGCAGGCAAAUAUACAGACUAUUGAACUAUAUUAUUGUGACGAUUUACAAAACAAAAGUUGUGGCAUAAAGUUAAAUGUGGCAUCUAACUUGUUAUCUAGACAACUUCAGGACUUAGGAGUUGUGGCCUUCUAUCCAUAUAAACGAUGAGACUAUGCAACUAUACUAAAAGAUUAUCUUCAAGAGUUCAAUACUUCAAUAUCAAGGCCUAAAGGCUAAAAUAAACUUAUUAUGUUUCAAAAGAGAACAAGUAAGAAUAGACCGGGGUGAGUAGCAGACGCCGUUCUCUAAAUGGGAGUUGGCGGUACCAGGGUCGCAUGUGAUAUUGUCGUUCUACUCGCUAUUCUGUCUCGAAAUCGUCAACACGCUGCGGUGGCGACAGGAGUUACUUGUUCAACAAUCAUCACAACAAACGUUCCUGUUCCUUCUGUAAGAGGGUAUGCACGGAUAUUAUGCCACGAUUGUUACUGUAUCCCCAACGGCGCCCCUUUGAGGACUCAGAAUUUGGCGCACCGGGGCAAUUGUCCCCUCUAAAUACGCAACUAG